rnacentral:rRNA from 1 species
UACGUAGGGCGCAAGCGUUAUCCGGAAUUAUUGGGCGUAAAGAGCUCGUAGGCGGUUUGUCGCGUCUGCCGUGAAAGUCCGGGGCUCAACUCCGGAUCUGCGGUGGGUACGGGCAGACUAGAGUGAUGUAGGGGGAGACUGGAAUUCCUGGUGUAGCGGUGAAAUGCGUAGAUAUCGAGAGGAACACCUGCGGCGAAGGCGGGUUGCUGGGCUGACACUGACGCUGAUGCGCGAAAGCCAGGGGAGCGAACGGG